rnacentral:rRNA from 1 species
CAGCAGCCACGGUAAUACGGAGGGUGCAAGCGUUAAUCGGAAUUACUGGGCGUAAAGCGUGCGUAGGCGGUUCGUUAAGUCUGUUGUGAAAGCCCCGGGCUCAACCUGGGAAUGGCAAUGGAUACUGGCGAGCUAGAGUGUGUCAGAGGAUGGUGGAAUUCCCGGUGUAGCGGUGAAAUGCGUAGAGAUCGGGAGGAACAUCAAUGGCGAAGGCGGCCAUCUGGGACAACACUGACGCUGAGGCACGAAAGCGUGGGGAGCAAGCAGGAUUAGAUACCCCAGUAGUCCCUGUCUCUUAUAC